ACACACACACACACAUUCCUGUUUUCCCUGAAAUGGCCUAGAAAUAAUUAUAUUAUAACUAGCAUUCCCAGCUCUUGGCUUCUAAAUACCAUUCCACAGUAAAAAGAACCAGGGCUCAUUGAAAUGACUAAUCCAGGUCUGGGGUAGGGAAGUACAGAAAUAAUUGAAAAGUGAAAGCUUUCCCACUAGUCCUUUUUUCCCAAAGGAGCCUGGAAUAUCUUAUACCAGAAAGCAUGGACAUGCUCAAAAAUUAACGGAGACAUGCCAAAUGUUCAGGGUAGUUUGAACAAAUCUAUCAAUGAUAAAAUAACAACUUAAUAGAAUAAUGGUAGUUAAUAUAUAAAGAUUGAUAAGAUUGGAAAAACCACUAUUUUGCAACCACACUAUAAUAAUUUAGGCAAAGAUUAUUGACAGAUGCUAAGAUCAUUGUGUGAAAAGUUUUGGAGAGCAGGAUUUAUAUACAUGGUUUGAAAUUAUCACCCUUUAAAGGUACUUUUUACAGUAGAGAGAUGUGAUGGAUACUGUCUUAAGUGAUCACAUCUAAGGUUAAUCACCAGUAAUAGGACAAAGUGUCAUUACGUGUCUUCUAAUGUAAUUUGAUGAGAAAUAUAUAAUCACCUAAUGCAGUAUUCUUGUCAAAAAUAGUUAACUUGAAUCUAAUAUGAAGAAUAAUCAGACAAAUCCAGAUAGUGGGACACUCUACAAAUAAAUGGUUUGGGUUUUUUAAAUGUAAGCAAUGAAAGAUUUUUCAAAGACAUUUGAGGAAAUUUAAAUAUGGAGUAUAUAUUAGGUAUAUCUAUUAAAUUCUUUUGGCAUGAUAAUUGUAGUUAUGUUGGAAAACGUCUAUGUUCUUGGUGGACACAUGCUGAAGUUUUGGGAAGUGGAAUGUAGCUUACUUCCAGAUGGUGUAAGUAAAAAAGGAAUGCCUGUAUGUGUGUGCUUGUGUGUACAUAUCUAUAUGUAAAAUGUAUGUGUAUGUAUGCUUUGUGUGAGAAUGAGAGUACCAAAUGUGACAAAAUGUUAACAAUUGGUGACUCUUGGUGAGGUGUAUAGGUAUAUGAAUGUUUACUGUUCAGUUCAUUCAUUUUCUCUGUAGGUUUGAAUUUUUUAAAAUAAAGUGAGAGGUCAUAUUUUAUCGUUUAAAAAUUUUUAAUUGACAUACAACAUUAUAUUAGUUUCAGGUGUACAACACAAUCACUCUAUAUGUGUAUAUGUUGAAAGUAAUCACAGUAAGUCUAGUUAAGAUUUGUCACCUUACAGAGUUACAAAAAAAAUUUCUUGUGAUGAGAACUUUAAAAAUAUUUUUGUCAUGUUUACUUUUUUAGAGAGAGAAAGGGAGGGAGGGCGG